rnacentral:rRNA from 1 species
AGCGAACGCUGGCGGCAUGCUUAACACAUGCAAGUCGCACGGGCAGCAAUGUCAGUGGCGGACGGGUGAGUAACGCGUAGGUAUCUAUCCUUGGGUGGGGGACAACGGCUGGAAACGGCUGCUAAUACCGCAUGAUAACUGAGGUUUAAAGGCGCAAGUCGCCUGGGGAGGAGCCUGCGUACGAUUAGCUAGUUGGUGGGGUAAAGGCCUACCAAGGCAACGAUCGUAGCUGGUCUGAGAGGAUGAUCAGCCACAUUGGGACUGAGACACGGCCCAAACUCCUACGGGAGGCAGCAGUGGGGAAUAUUGGACAAUGGGCGAAAGCCUGAUCCAGCAAUGCCGCGUGUGUGAAGAAGGUCUUCGGAUUGUAAAGCACUUUCGACAGGGACGAUGAUGACGGUACCUGUAGAAG